CAAGAGUUGCUGCUGCUUAUGUCAUCUGUUGUCCUGCUGCUUCCAUUAGAAAUCGACAGCUCACCUAUCUACUCUUAUCAAUCGAGUGGCUCGAGGAGUCCUAUGAGGCUAUGAUCACUUCCUUUCUUUUUUCUUCUCUGAUCAGGACUGCUCCUCUUCCAUUCUCCACCGAUAAUUCUCUCAAAACUCUUCUCGUUAGAACCAAGAAGAGGUGAAUAAAGUAAAAUGAUGAAGAGAAAGCUCAAUUAUGCACUUCCAUAGAUGCUGUAUUUUUUUCAAAUGUUUAUUUUUCAGUUUAUUAUUGUGGGUUUUUUCCCCUUGUUCAGCUCCUUAUUUUCUUGUCAUCGUCAGCAAUAAUUUGUCCUUUGUAUAUCUCUUGUCCCGCAAAACCAAUAACCAAACAUUCGGAUUUUACAAUUGUACAAAACUUUGUGCCUAAAAUAUUGACUAUAUUUUCCUUAUACUGUUCUUUGUUAGUUUUCCUUUUCGAGUGUUACACCCUUGGUGUUUUUGUCUAUUUGAUUUAAUUUUGUUCAUUUUCUCGGAUUAUUCUGCCUUGGAUUCCAGAGUUGAGAGUUACAACGAAAUGUAAAGGAUAUUCUAUUAUAUUGGUUGUGUUGUUUCUUCUAAGGUUAAUCGAAAUGGAUCGUGAUGAAGCUUGAAGCAUUGGUGAUGGUAAUUCUGCUAGAAACUUUAAGAUUUAUUUACGCCACUCAAAAUGGGUUCGAAUUGAACAGCAAGAGUCAAUUUCUUGAUAUUCAAGGCAUACAUGGCAUAGAAGAUUAUUAACCAUGUGGCUGAAAUUGUUGGAGACAAAUAAAAUGCCUAAAUGGCAAUUUGUUUGGAUAGAGUAUGCAAUCAUAGUGGUUUGUUUUAAUAAGUUCUCAUUUGAUGGGAUUAUCAUGGAUGUAGGAUAAUGCUUGACUGCCAUCAGCAGAUUUUGAUAAUAAUUUUGCUUUGAUGAAAAUCUAAAUUCUUUUCCCUUUCCCUUUUUUUCUGGUUUUGUCAGCUGUUUUUUUUUUAAUGAAUUUUAACUGUUCCUUUUUCCCCUGGGAUUUUUUGUUUCUGGUUCUCCGUAAUUGCUUUCUACAUUUAUUUCAUAUAUGUUUUAACUUUUCAAUUCCCCAGACUAGAAACUUGCACAAUGUUCUCUGGAAGUUCUUUUUCUUCUUGUAUCUGACUUGAUCAGAACUAAGGAUUACAGGCGAAGUUUAGUCUCUUAGUUUCAUUGGAGUAUUGUUGAUUGCAUGUUGAUAUUGGAGUAUUUUGUGGCGAAAACCUUCUGGCAGAAGAAGUUAUUUGAGAAUUUGAGGUGUCCAAAAAGCACUACGGAACAAGAGUAUAGUUAGCUGUUCAAAGUAUAGGUAAUAGAGUACUUUUGGAUCAAUGUAACUUUUAUUGUAUAUCUUGUUUCCUCCAAACAUGAUUGAAAUUUACAUUACUAAUGUACUUUUGGAUCAAUAUAACUUUAGUUCUA